AUUGAACGCUGGCGGCAGGCCUAACACAUGCAAGUCGAGCGGAUGAAGGGAGCUUGCUCCUGGAUUCAGCGGCGGACGGGUGAGUAAUGCCUAGGAAUCUGCCUGGUAGUGGGGGAUAACGUCCGGAAACGGGCGCUAAUACCGCAUACGUCCUGAGGGAGAAAGUGGGGGAUCUUCGGACCUCACGCUAUCAGAUGAGCCUAGGUCGGAUUAGCUAGUUGGUGGGGUAAGGGCCUACCAAGGCGACGAUCCGUAACUGGUCUGAGAGGAUGAUCAGUCACACUGGAACUGAGACACGGUCCAGACUCCUACGGGAGGCAGCAGUGGGGAAUAUUGGACAAUGGGCGAAAGCCUGAUCCAGCCAUGCCGCGUGUGUGAAGAAGGUCUUCGGAUUGUAAAGCACUUUAAGUUGGGAGGAAGGGCAGUAAGUUAAUACCUUGCUGUUUUGACGUUACCAAUAGAAUAAGCACCGGCUAACUUCGUG
rnacentral:rRNA from 1 species